rnacentral:sRNA from 2 species
ACCUGCGCAAUGGGACGAAUCAAUCUUCUUCAGUCCUUUCCACCGAGCCUCCAAGUUCAUUCCUUCACACACCACGUCGGUACUCUGCCUCUGGUAGGACAGACGGUGAUGUCCCUUCUAACGCUUAGCGUGUGUGCCUGGGCUAGCUCUGAAACAAGAAAGGGCGUCUAAUCAUGGCUGAUUAGUGGCACCGAUCUUUAGAUGGUCCAUGUGGAAAAAGUGAUACGUUGCCGAAAAGCGCUGUGAUCAAAUUGGCCCGGAUGGCAUUUCCAUAAAUAUGACUCGUUGUACAGUCCGCUAUCGGUCUCGAGACUUACAAAAAGGACAGUUGGAUUUUCCUCAUGUUUGAAUGGAGUGGUGAUUGGUGAGCAAGACGCGCCUGAUGGACAGGAAAGAAGUGAUAGAUCAUGCUAAAUAUUCACAGAAAAGGAAAUGAGCAGAAUGAU